UAGAACUUACAAAUUGUCUGAGAAAGAAAGUAGGCUUCGCAGAGAUAGUGAGUGUAGCAGCUGUGGGGGAAAAGAAAGAAGAGAAGAAACCGGAGGCAGUGGUGCAGCCGUUUAUUUGGCCCAUGUACGGUGGAGGCGUGCCUCAGACCUAUAUCCAUCCGAUUCACCCCCCCAACUAUUAUCAGGACCCUUCUUGCUCCAUCAUGUAAUUAACAAACAGGAUAGCCAGAUGCAGAGAGAGUUCAUUUAUCUUGUAGAACAUGCUGCUGUUCCAUGUCUGAAAGGGGGGAGAUAGAAGAUCGGCUUCAUGUCUUCUUCCAUGUGUAAACAAAGCUUCUUUGGUUGUAUCAACUUGUCAUUUUACAGGAGUGAUAGAUUUUGAUAUUGGGUGAGCAAAGAACAUGGUGAUUCAGUCGUUAUUCAACACAAGAAUAAAAAUAAAAUAAAAAUAAAAAUUGAGACACUAUACUAUGAAAUUCAGUCACCAUUAAUUAUCAACUUGUGAAUUUUAAUCCAACAUUUAUUGCUUUCUGGGCUCCAUGGCGCAUCUUCUCCUCUUCUUUUUGUAUCCAUUAAAGAAAGUCAAAUAGCAAUCACAUCAGGCUAUGCAUAUUACACUGCAUGUCACUGUUUAGUAUUCAAUGAAUCUUUUAACACAUUAGACAUAAAGAAUAAAGUGAAAACGAUUGCAGAUUAAAAUUAAGUUUCAUGGCUGGGUUCAGAUUUUAACCGGAUUAUUUAAAUUAAUUCUAAUUUUUUAAAAAAAUUAAAAUGAUAUUGUGUUAAUAACAAAAAAUAAAUGAUCAAUAGGUUGCAAUUAAAUUUUUAUCAUAGUUUUACUAGGUCAUUCUGGAUUUUAAUUUUUUCUUUUUUUUUUUAAAUCCAACCCAGUUCUAGCUCUGAAUUCGAGAUCAUCAAUUAUGUCUGGCUCGGCUGGGUUUCAUAGCUAUUAUUAAUGGGCUUUUCAAGAAAAAUAAGAAAUACAAUAAAUAAAAAUAAAACUCGGGCUGGGUUUCAUAGCUAUUAUGAAUAGGCUUUUCUAGAAAAAUAAAAAAUACAAUAAAUCGAAUACCCUUUUAUUCCAUGUCAAAUGUCAAGAGGUAAAUACUCUUUUAAUUGUAUUGUGAAAGAUAAGAGAAUUCAUGUUAAUGAUUAUUGUAAACAACUUGUAAGUUUUUAACCGUUUUCUUUUAACAACAUGUAUCCCUUCCGAUCAGACACUAUUAUCAAUGCACAUAGUUUAGUUUUGUAGUAGUUAAUGUGUUAAUUUCAAACAUAAAAAAAUACUAGUACUAUCGAUGUGUGUUUUUUCUAUAUUUUCAUACCCUAAUUUUGAUCUCUCAAAUUUUUCAAAAUUUUUCAAAAAUAUUUUAUUAAAAAAAACCAUAAAUUCAAAAUUUAAAAAUAUAUGUUUUGAGACCAUAAACAAGCAAGAACAAUCUACAAGUGGUUACGACAUCACGUGGACAUGUAAUUUAAGGGCAUCGCUAAAGAAACUUAAGAAAAAUUAUUUUUUUUAUUUUUUUUAAUUAAUAUUUUUUUAUUGUUUUUUAUAUUAUUUUGAUGCGUUUAUUUUAAAAAUAAAAAAAAUAUCAUUUUAAUUUAAUUUUUUAUGUUUUUAAAUUGUUUUAAUGUAAUUAUGUUAAAAUAAAUUUUUUUAAAAUUUUUUGUAAUAAAAAAUACUUUAAUAUAUAUAUAUAUAUAUAUAUAUAUAUAUAUAUAUAUAUAUAGAGAGAGAGAGAGAGAGAGAAUUAAAAUAGGAAAAAUGGUUGAUAAAUAGCCACGUAAUCUGCUUUUAUUGUGCUUUAUUUUCAUGCUUUCCUGCUGAUUAUUCUCUAGCAUCAUUUUUAUUAGGUGUUAUUAUAUUUUGUUCAGUUUGGUUUUUAUAUAAAAAUAAAUUGAAUAUUUUUUUAAAAAUGAAACCGAUUCGAACCGACAAGUUUUGGUUUGGUUUUUUAGGACAAAAACCGGUUCAAAAGCCUUUUGAAAAACAAUAAUUUUUAUUUUAUUUUUUAUUUUAUUUAAAAUUAAUAUAUUUUUGUUUUUUCAGAUCUUUUGAUGUGCUGAUGUCAAAAAUAAUUUUUUAAAAAUAAAAAAAUUAUCUUGAUGCAUUUCUGAGUGAAAAGCGCUUUGAAAAACAACAUUUACUAUACUUACAAACACCUCUUAACCAAUCAAACCACACAAAGCAAUUUAUCUAAGGUAGGUACUAAUACAUUCCCCGGCUGCAAGCAAUCCUUUACCAUGAAUCUCUAAUAAAACUAGUACACCCAGGUUUUCUUGUAACAUUGAAUCAAAUAACUAAGUAGCAAAUCCAAACAAUAACCCGACAUCGCGUACCCAUCUGCGACAAAAAUUAUUGACUUUAUUAUUAGAGGAUACAUAAAUUUUCUCAAAAUGAACUGUUUUCCAAGUGUUGGGUGUUUAUCACCCAUCAUCACUUUCAUGAAGCGCAUGAAAGAUGAACCGUGGAUAUUCAAUUACCACAAAAACAACAAUAUAUAAUAAGACAUGACUUUGAUGUUCAAACUGAUUCGUUUCUUCCUCAUCAUUUGUCAACUAAAGUAACAUCAACUAUAAGCAGGAUUCAAGUGGUUUGCAAAUAAUAAUAAUAAUAAAAAAAAACACAACAACAACAACCAACUUGUUUUUACUCUGUAAUCGCAAACACAAGCCCUGCAUAGAGAUCAGACCAUGCAGUUUCUUCUAAUAUAUUCCCCACAAAUCUAACAACUUGUCUUAGUUCUUCUACGUUUUCAUUUGUUUUUUCAUUUUGUGAUUAACAUUAACUAGUUCUUCUGAACCUGACUUUUAGAGGGCCCCAUGGGGAAGGUUAGUCCAUUGAUGAGCAGGUCCCCACACGAAAUGCCGUGUGUUUACUUAGUCAAACUGGAAGAAAAACAAAUCGGAAUCAGAGAUUCCUCGAACUUUCACAGAAAUCUCCUCACUCGUGCUCUGACCCAUGCACUCCUAUAUUAAUAGAAAAAACUGCAUCCCAGACUUCCAUCUUCAAAACAAAAAUAGCAUCAAUUCACUCCCUCCUCUGCUUCUUCAAAACCAUCGCUUUUGGUGUCUCCUGAACUGUAAGGAGCUCCUCUUUCCCUACAUAUCAUCAUCUUUCCAACGAUCAAGACCAUGAAGGUAUGAAUUUGUGAUCCGAACACAAGUAUAUUUUUAGCUUGUUCGAAAAAAUAUAAUGUAAAUUGCUUUCUUGUUAUUGAUUAAUUAUGCUAAAUUAUUGCAGCAAAAGAUAGUGAUCAAGGUGACGGUGAAUGGACCGAAGUCCCGCUCCAAAUGCUUGCAGAUUGCAGUUGGGUUUUCAGGUAAACAAAACCUUCCAUGCACACAAGUUUUAGAACUGCAAUACCUAAUAGAAACCAUGAAUUUGUGGGCAAAUUCAGAUGAUCAAUAUGUUGACGGGCUUGUGUUUUUCUGUGAUUCUGUAGGUGUUGAAUCUGCUGGUUUAGGAGGGAAAGAUAAGAGCCAGAUAGAGGUGGUAGGCGUUGGAGUUGAUGCAGUAGAACUUACAAAUUGUCUGAGAAAGAAAGUAGGCUUCGCAGAGAUAGUGAGUGUAGCAGCUGUGGGGGAAAAGAAAGAAGAGAAGAAACCGGAGGCAGUGGUGCAGCCGUUUAUUUGGCCCAUGUACGGUGGAGGCGUGCCUCAGACCUAUAUCCAUCCGAUCCACCCCCCCCAACUAUUAUCAGGACCCUUCUUGCUCCAUCAUGUAAUUAACAAACAGGAUAGCCAGAUGCAGAGAGAGUUCAUUUAUCUUGUAGAACAUGCUGCUGAUCCAUGUCUGAAAGGGGGGAGAUAGA
rnacentral:lncRNA from 1 species